rnacentral:rRNA from 1 species
CGGCGGACGGGUGAGUAACACGUGGAUAACCUACCUAUAAGACUGGGAUAACUUCGGGAAACCGGAGCUAAUACCGGAUAAUAUAUUGAACCGCAUGGUUCAAUAGUGAAAGACGGUUUUGCUGUCACUUAUAGAUGGAUCCGCGCCGCAUUAGCUAGUUGGUAAGGUAACGGCUUACCAAGGCAACGAUGCGUAGCCGACCUGAGAUGGUGAUCGGCCACACUGGAACUGAGACACGGUCCAG